ensembl:miRNA xtr-mir-148a xtr-mir-148a
UAGUCUUUUAAAUCAAAGUUCUGUGACACUUAGACUCUGAAUAUGAUAGCAGUCAGUGCACUACAGAACUUUGUUUUGGGAGUCUG